CCCUUAGAUGUUCUGGGCCGCACGCGCGCUACACUGACGAAUGCAACGAGCUUAUAACCUUGGCCGAAAGGUCUGGGUAAUCUCCAAAUUUCGUCGUGAUGGGGAUAGAUUAUUGCAAUUAUUAAUCUUCAACGAGGAAUGCCUAGUAAGCGCAAGUCAUCAGCUUGCGUUGAUUACGUCCCUGCCCUUUGUACACACCGCCCGUCGCUCCUACCGAUUGAACGUUUUAGUGAGGUAUUUGGACUGGACCUUCGGAGGUUCGCGCCUCCGUUGCUGUUCGGGAAGACUCCCAAACUUGAGCGUUUAGAGGAAGUAAAANUCGUAACA
rnacentral:rRNA from 1 species